CACGCAGGCGGUCUGUUAAGUUCAGGGUGACAGUCAUCAGCUUAACUGGUGAAGUGUCUUGAAAACUGACGGACUUGAGGGCCAGAGAGGGACCUGGAAUUCCGGGUGGAGCAGUGAAAUGCGUAGAUAUCCGGAGGAACACCAAAGGCGAAGGCAAGGUCCUGGCUGGCACCUGACGCUCAAGCGCGAAAGCUAGGGGAGCGAACGGGAUUAGAUACCCCGGUAGUCCUAGCCGUAAACGAUGACCACUAGGUGUGCGGGGUUCGACCCCCUGCGUGCCGCAGCUAACGCAAUAAGUGGUCCGCCUGGGGAGUACGGUCGCAAGACUAAA
rnacentral:rRNA from 1 species